UACACUUCAGACUAUGUUGAAGAAUAUCAUAGGGCACGAAGGCUAGAGUAAGAAAAUUCCCGACUGUCCAACGAGAAGCGUGAACUGGAGAGGCAACUGGCGGAAAAGACGAGGACUGCUCAGGUGUCCUCGACUCAGGUCUUGACACUGGGGCACAAGGUGCGAGAGCUGGAGCGCCAAAACACCGGACUGUCCGGUGAGCUGUCCAAGCAAACGGAGGACACCCGGAAGGCGGGCCUGCUCUUCAUGAAUGCUGCCGAUAGGUACCAAGAGGAAGCUAAGAAGCAAAUUAGGGCAAAGGCAGAGGAACUGGAGAACACGAGGAAGGCAGGUCUGAUGCUAAUGAACACCGCUGAUACAUACCAAGAAGCGGCAAUGAAGCAAAUUAAGGAGAAGUCGGGGGAGCUGGAGGAUGCGAGGAAGGCGGUUUUGGCGCUCAUGAAAGCAGCAGAUGCGUACCAGGAAGAAGCGAAGAAGAAAAUUAAGGAUAAGGUGCAGGAGCUGAAGGUCAUGGGGGCACAGAAGGCAGAGCUGGAUGCGAGGGUAGAAUCUUUGGAGUCGAGGCUCAAGGCAGCUCUAGCAAAGAACUUGGAGUUGGAGGAUGAUUAUGGUAAGGUGAAGGCUGAAAAUGAUAACCUUCGGUUAGAGGUUGAGAAAGAUGCAUCUGCAAAGGCAUUUGAUGCUGAGAAGGAAGAAAUCUUGACGGAAUUGGAGGACCUUAAGAUGAAGGUGGAGGUAACUCAAGCCAACAAGGAUUUGAUGGAGGGUGAAAAUGAUAAACUUCAAUUGAACGCUUUCACAGGAAUAUAG
rnacentral:rRNA from 1 species